rnacentral:lncRNA from 1 species
GCUAAGCUAUCUCCAGCUUCUAAAGCUUCAUUACCGUUUAUAUCCACAAGAUCCAGCAAAUCACCAACUUCUUCUUGCUUCUUCUCUAUUAUCACUUCCUCCUCGGGUUGUUCUUCUUCCUCUUCCUCUUCUUUUGGUGGAGGUGCAGGUAAGGCCUUGAUAGCAUUCAUAUCUUCUUCCUCCUCGUUCACUUCCUCUGCUCUCUCAUCAUCAUCCUCUUCAACAGACUGUGAUUCCUUGGUCUGGUCUAAAGUGGAUUUGUCUUUUAUAAACUCAUCCAUGAGAUCAAGCUUCUUCUGUGUGAUCUUCUCUAUCUCAGGGUACUCUGAAGACCUAGCGAUCCCCAUGUUCUUACACCAGGAAUAGAACUGAUCUAGCUCUUCAAACUGUUUAGAGACGCGGCAGAAAAUGUCAUAGACCUUGAUCGAAUCAGGUAUGUCUAACUCCAUGAACCGUUCGAUUAAAACCCCCAUUAUCUCAGUUAUAUCGUAAUAUAUCUGGAAGCUCUCCUUCACUAUAGGAUACAGAGCCACAAUCACAACUCUGUUGUUCCUCGCGCCACCUGUUUUAAAAAGUGAUAACUUGUUAUCCAAGAAACAACGAAGAUAGCGACAAAAGAAAACUGCGGUUUUGAACCGAACCGAACCAAAAAUUUUGGUUAGUUUGGUUUGGUCGUUACAAAUAAAGUUCAAUUCGGCAUGUUUGUGAAAAAACUUAGGUUUUCAGUUAAUUUGAUUUUCCAAAAGAAAAAAAAAAGUAACUAAGUUUCCAAUGAACUAAUAGAAUUAACAAAAAUUCAAAUCAAAACAAUCAAACUAACCGAAAUUACCGAAUUUAAACAAAAAUACCAAAUUUUAACUGAAAUAUAAUCGAAACCAAAAACUUCGGGUUAGUUUAAAUAAAAAAAAGUUAAAAACAGAACUACCCAAAUACCGAACCGAACAAAUUUUUCUGGUUCAAUUCAUUGAGAUUUUGGCCAAACCGAACCACCCGAACCUCAAGCCUAUGGAUGUGGUACCUGUUGGACGACAAGCCAAGAAACGGUCAAGAAGCUGCUGCAAAUGCUGUACUCUGGUGAAAAUCUUCUCUGUUUUCAUCUCUGCGAUGGGUUGUGACCUAACCACUAUAGCCGUGGAGAGAUCAGCCUCAUGCUUAUCUUUCUCAUCUUCCACCGCAUCUCCUCCUCCAACGCAGUAAACCCCACGUUUCCCGUGCCUCGUUUGCAUCCUAAAAUCAAGCCUUUCAUCUAGGUACAAUGCAUACGUCCUUACAAAAGCAGAGUAGUCCCACGAGUUUGACCUAGAAACAUCUCUAAAGUCAGACAUGUUGAGAAGUCUUGUCCCACGUCGAGUAGCGAAGAAGAUCUCUUGCUCGUAAGCCUUAUCUCCUUCUGCUAAUAGCCGUUGGAUCAGAAUCAAGGUUUUGAGAGCGACGGUCCAGCAUUUGGUUUUGUUGAGGCGUCUAGAAAGCGUGUUGACGCAUGCGUUGAUGUAGUUGCGUGAGUAAGAAGUUAGGCUAAGAAUCUCUCUUAUGUAUUUCUCUUCUGCUGGAUACUCUUCGUGACGAGUAGCUUUGACGAUGGCUACGUCAAGCUCUGAUAGAGAAGAGCUUCGGCCGUUGACUUUGGCUAGACCGGCGCUGGUUUGGUCCUUCACGGCUCCUAUGGCUCGUUUAAGUUUACUCGAACCCAUUUUUUUACGAUUUAUUAAAAUGUAUAUAAGAAAAGAAAAUUAGAAAACGUAAAGAUAAAGACAAAAAGAUAUGAAGAGAGAAAAGGGGAAGAGAACGAGGGUUGCUUUGUUAUGUGCUCACACAGCUACAGUCACAUGUCUACGUGUAAGUCAACCGUACAUGAUGAUUGCAAGUGGGUCAGAUGAUUGCACAGUUAUAAUAUGGGAUCUCAGUUCGAUGAGUUUUGUGAGGCAGCUUCCUGACUUCCCAGUUCCCAUUUCAGCAAUCUACAUAAAUGACCUUACCGGGGAGAUUGUAACUGCGGCUGGAACUGCCCUUGCGGUUUGGAGCAUCAAUGGCGACUGCCUUGCUGUGGCUAACACAUCGCAGUUACCAUCUGAUUCAGUAUUAUCUGUAACAGGUUCCACGUCUUCUGACUGGCUUGAAACAGCAUGGUAUGUAACUGGUCAUCAGAGUGGAGCAAUUAAAAUAUGGCGGAUGAUACAUUGCACUGAUCCGUUGAGUGCCGAGAGCAAAACAAGUAGUAGCAACAGAAACGGAGGGCUGAAUUUGGGUGAUCAAGUGCCAGAGUACAAGUUGAUUCUGCAUAAGGUGCUGAAAUUCCAUAAACAACCGGUCACCGCUCUCUAUCUCCCGGGCGACCUGAAGCAGUUACUGAGCGGCGAUUCAGCUGGACAAUUGCUUUCAUGGACAUUGCCAGAUGAGACAUUAAGAGCUUCGUUGAAACAAGCUUCGUUGAAAUAAGCUUCACUGAAACAGGCGUCAUAGGUUUAGGAUGUAAAGCUGAGACCAGUCAUUCCCCUUUGGUUUCUUUGGUUAGAACCGAGAGAGAGAGCUGGCGAAGGGACUUGAAGACAGGACCAAAUAGUAGGAAGAAGACCAAAGUCUGAACAAAGUGCUGGCUCUGUUGCAUAAAUGGCUUGCAGGUUAAAGAGAAAAAGAGCAAGGUGAGCCAGUCUGGCUUCUGAUUGCUGGUGAGUUUUCAGAAUUAGGAAGGAGAUGGAAGAUGAGGUUUGGUUUGAGAAUUUGUGUAAAUAGAUUUCUUCUUGAAAAAUCAUUGCAAAUAGCAGAAGGCUGGGCAUAUUUGUAUUCACAGCCCCAUGUGUAUUUUGUCAGAUGCUGUUCUUGUAUUGUUUUAAUAGUUUGUGACCUUUUGUAUUCUUCAUCGUUUGCCUCAAUGUCAAUGGUAUUGUUUUCUGUUCUUGGUUUUAAAGAAAGAGUGAGAGAGAUGGGAAAGUAAAAUCAUUCUGAUAAAGAAGAGAUGGUUUCAAGUUUUCUUGGGUUAUUACCAAGUUUGGUUAAUAUGUGUGGCUCUGUCUUUAAUUAUAUUAUAUUACGUAAAACUAAAAUUACCUUAAAAGAGGAAGAAAAACAAUUGUAUAAUAUUACGAAGUUUUUGGUUAAUAUGUGCAACUGUUUGAAAUUCGCAACUAAACCAUUCAGAACAAGAGCUUCAAGAGAUGGCUACAAUGCCAGCCAAUCAUCCAUCAUCUUUGGUCGUGGAUUCUUGAACUGUGUUUGUGCUUCCUUCUUGGCCACAUUUGAGUUAUCUGGAUUACAUACAUGCUCAGGAUGAUGCCGAGAGAUACGAGGAGUUGUUGAUGCCUUCAAGUCAUAUUAAAUACAGUAUUUAAGUUUAUCUUGUAAAGUUACAUCAGAGAUUACAAUUACAGAAGCAAACCUCUUAUAUGCCCCCCUCCCCAAUGAAUCUGACCCAAGAACAGAAGAAAUGUUUGAAUUUGCAAAAAGAAUAAACCCCAAAAAAAAAAGCUGACACAACUAAAGAACUCCUUCCAUGAUGCAGAAUCAAUAUUGAGGUGUGUAGGAGUAACUAGGUUUGUUUUGGUUUUGGCUUAAAUUCAUGUGUCCUUGUCUUCCUUCUCUUGAGUAUUGAUCCCACAUCAUCUGCUCUUCCAUCAACUUUCUCUGUUUCUUCUCCAUGUCAUUCAUCUGCACAUACGCUGGCGGCGCAACCUCCAAGGACGCAGCAAAUGGAUCCAUCGGUACAGUGCCAUUGCUGUUUCCAUUAGCCGUUGCUGGUGCUGGAAGUGCCAGCAUGGUUGCUAUAAUUGUUACAAAACUCAUGUCAAAAAAUUAGUAUAAUAUGCAAACAAAGACAUAUCAAAGUAACGUUUCUUUUAAAACCUGCUGGUCUUCCUGCAGAACCAAAUGCCAUACUGCUUGCACUUCCGCUAGCUCCAUAAGCCGUGGAGGUUUGCACAGCAGCGUUCACAGUGCCGUGCUGAUACAUUCCGUUGAGAAGCAACAUAUCAAAGCCUCCUCCGAGUUCCGUCUUUUGUCCUGAUAAUUUUGUAGCGGUUUGCACCAAAGCUGUCUCCCAAUCUGCUCCAUCAUCAUUAAACGCUUCCCAUCCAGGACCGGUCUCUGCACCCGAACCGCUCGCGUAAGGGCCAUCGAAUAAAGCCAAUGCUAAGCUAUCUCCAGCUUCUAAAGCUUCAUUACCGUUUAUAUCCACAAGAUCCAGCAAAUCACCAACUUCUUCUUGCUUCUUCUCUAUUAUCACUUCCUCCUCGGGUUGUUCUUCUUCCUCUUCCUCUUCUUUUGGUGGAGGUGCAGGUAAGGCCUUGAUAGCAUUCAUAUCUUCUUCCUCCUCGUUCACUUCCUCUGCUCUCUCAUCAUCAUCCUCUUCAACAGACUGUGAUUCCUUGGUCUGGUCUAAAGUGGAUUUGUCUUUUAUAAACUCAUCCAUGAGAUCAAGCUUCUUC